rnacentral:lncRNA from 1 species
AAACAACAUAAAGUUUUCCGUGUACAGGUUCUGUACAUAUUUUGUCAAAUUUAUACACACAUAGUUCUUAUUUUUUGAUACUACUGCAAAUGACUUUAUUUUUUAAACUGUGUUUAUAACUGUUUGUUGCAAGUAUACCAAGACAUAUAAUUGGUUUUGCAUAUUAAACUUGUAUUCUAUAACAUUACUAAAUUUGUUUAUUCUAGCACCUUUUUUUGGUACAUUCCCUAGGAUUCUUAUUGCUCUAUAGUUUCCUUUUCUUAUAAAUAUCUUUGUCUGGUUUUGAUACUAGGGCUUUAGUGGUGCUCCUAAGAAUACAUCAUCUUUAAUGGACAAAAUCUCCCAAACCCAACAGAAAUUAUUUUUUAAGACAUUAUAGCUCCCUACAGCCUCCUGCUUCAAUGAUCCUCCCACUUCAGCCUCCCGAUUACGUG